rnacentral:rRNA from 1 species
UAACUGAAGAGUUUGAUCAUGGCUCAGAUUGAACGCUGGCGGCAGGCUUAACACAUGCAAGUCGAGCGGGGGAAGGUAGCUUGCUACUGGACCUAGCGGCGGACGGGUGAGUAAUGCUUAGGAAUCUGCCUAUUAGUGGGGGACAACAUCUCGAAAGGGAUGCUAAUACCGCAUACGUCCUACGGGAGAAAGCAGGGGAU